UCUCAUCUUCAUCACCUUCAAUUACUAACCCCAAUCCCCAUUGAAGCCACCUCUGCACCGCCGGUGAACUCCACCAUACCAAGCAAACCAUUGACUCUGUUUCUUGUCUCUCUAUCAUCCUUGAGGUCACGGAUAUGGCGGCGGGGAACCAGAGCCCCCUUUAUUGCCAGUAAUUCAAUGCUCUUCAAAGCAACCGAUCUCGAAAUAUUUCCUUCUCCUCCACUGGGCCUUCUUCAUCCGGCGGACCUCCGAUGAUCGAACUUGUCAGCGUGAUAACAACAAUUGCACCCAAAAUAAGUGGGCUACAAGAAGCAUUGCCAAAGGCUAUUAUUGGACUACUUCCUUUUGAUGGUGGUGUAGCAGAGGUCUAGUUGGAUAUAGAAGUGUUUUCAAUAGUGAUACAUGUGGGACCGGAUUCAUGCAUCAGGCUUUCUUAAAUAUUGUAUGCAAAGCAUCGAGGUUCUCUUGGAAAUGUCAGAAAAUGUGUACUGGUAUCAAUAUAAACAGCUAAACCCCUACCAACCACCGGAUUACGCCUGGAGUAAACGAAACAACCUCCGGAAAGUGCAAAAGGCAAAGAGGAAAACAAAAUAUGUCAGAGAAGAAACAAAAUGUGGCUCAAACAUCAUAAAGCCUGUGUAUGCAAAGCAUCGAGGUUCUCUUGGAAAUGUCAGAAAAUGUGUACUGGUCAAUCCUGUAAGAACCAAGGAACUGACAAACAUUUGUGUUCCUGGUAAAGAUGAGAAUGUUCGCCUAUCUCCUCCUCGAUUGAUGUCCCUAGAAGAGGCCAUUGGAUAUGUUGCUUCAGAUGAACUUAUUGAGGUGCACCCAUACACAUUCAGCAAUGAAAACAUAUUCCUGCAUUUCAACUUUCAUGAGGAUGCAUAUGCACAGUUUGAUUACUGGAUAAAGGCAAUUGGAGUUGAUGGUUUGUUCACAGAUUUCACAGGAAGUCUUCAUCGGCAUCAGGAAUGGACAACUUCAGUACUUGGAAAAGAUGAUAAAAAUUCUAUUACAUUGUUGCAUAAAAUUGCACUCUUAAUAACAUCUCAAGAGGGAGUAAUAUAAUAACUCAACCACAAGCUCCACUUGACAAAUCUCUUCAAGAGAAGUAACAUGAAAUAGAUCAAAAUCACUAACAAGAGCUAAAAAAUAGCAACAAGCAAGCCACAAGCAGCACACCAAAUUUAUAUAGAAGACCCAUUGAUAAAAUGAAGACACAUUGAUCAAGAGGAACAAGUUUGAGGCGAUUUGAGCUAAUUUUGGAAGAAGAAUAGAGUUUUUUGAGGGACUUACAGGCGAGCUUAUGGGUACUAUUAUGGCAUUUAUUGUAGCAGUGCACUGUUCAUAUAUCGUAGUAAAUAACUGUUUACGGGCACUGUUUAUGGGCAUGUUACGACCGUAAACCCCAACCCGAGAACCUUACGGGCAUUGUUGCGGCCAUAAACCUCGGGCGUAAGGGUAUUGUAGCAGUGUACUGUUAUAUUACUGUAGUAAAUCACUAUUUAUGAUCACAUUUAUCGGCACAGUUACGGUCGUAAGCCCCAACCCGAGAACCUUACAGCCACUAUUACAGUCACUAUUACUACCGUAAGCCUCUGGUGGUAAGGACCUCUUAGGGUGGUAAGAACCUCCGAUUCUUGAGUUAUAAAAGCUAAAAAUUAGGGCUUCUGGGGGGGAUCUUUUUCUCUACUCUUUGGCCGCCAUUUGGGCGGCAAUUUGGGGGUGUUUUCCAUUAGAUAUCUUGCCAAAGAAGGAAGAAAACAAGACGGAGAGAUUAGGAGAAGGUUCAAAGCUUCAAGGGAGCCGUUCGUGGAGAGAUCUCAGCGGUGAUUUUGGGGAAUCAUCAAAGAACUUCAUCCAUCCAAGGAGAUUGUGAGCUUUGAGAGAGUUUUAUUAUUCUUUUUAUGUAUUUUAAUUCAUUUGUACUGGAUCGUUGCUCUCCUUUAAUGGAGGGCUACUUUGUUGGAUGUUUGGAUAUAGUUGAACUCUAGGGUUUAUUUUAUUGACAUUGGUUGUUGGAUCUUUUGAUGUUUUAAUUGUUUCCAUAAUUGCAAUCACUUCUAUUUGUAGUCAA